rnacentral:lncRNA from 1 species
CAAACUCUGUUGAGUACAAAUCAGCAUUUGUUGAGAGUUUACUGUCCAGGAUGCUUUCCAAAGUUCUUUACGUGUUUUAUUCAACCUUCACAAUACACUAAAAGGAAGAAACUAUUUAUUAUCUCAAUUUACAGGUGAGGAAGUUGAUGUUUAGAGAAAAUACUUAAAAUUUUCACAUAAGCUGGGCACAGUGGCCUUUGCCUAUAGUCCCAGCUACACAAGAGGUUGAGGCAGGAGAAUCGCUUGAGCACAGAAGUUUGAGGCUAAAGUGAGCUAUGAUUGCACCACUGCACUCCAGCCUGGGUGACAGGGCAAGACCCUAUCUCUAAUCACUUAAAAAAUUAUUUAAAGUUCAUAUAACUUUUAAAUGGUAGAAUCGAUACUCAAGCCCAUUUCUCUCAAACUCUAAAACUUGGACUCUUGAGCUCUUGUGUUUGACCACAGCAAGUUGAUUCCUUCUCAUUUUCUAGGUGAACUGGAAGCUCUCUACCCUCCAAGCGGAUCUCUGGCAAGAGGCGAGAACAGAUGAAACAAUUUUAUUUCACAUUUGUCUUUAAAAUCACAAGGACACUAUUGUCUUCAUAUAAAAAGCCGGCCUACAGAGGGAACGUAGAAUAAUGAGGAGAGACACCGAAGCAAGUCAGGAUGUGUGCACCAGCAGGAAACGUGGCUGGAACGUUAACAAGCAGAGGGGACGCUCCAGCCAUGCUGCACCGUAGCCAUUCCACUUUGAUGAAUGGAUUGAACAUCAAAUACCACACAUGCUAAGCCGUGUCAUGUGUCCGGAAGACAGAAUGUGGAUUUCAUAUACUUCUACUUUCUUCUGAAACAAGCAGCUUAUUCCUUUCCUUUUGCCAAAGGUAGAAAAAAAAAUAAACUAGAUUUUUUAGCAUAAAGUUAGGUGGUGGUUCUUUUGUUCAAUCCAGUGGAAUAAUAUAUUUAAACCAUUAUAUUGCUGAUUUAAAAUUAUAUCAUAAGUACACCUCUAGAACAUACAAGACAUUGGCCACUGUCCCAAAGAGGUAUCACGAAUAACCCAUAUGCCCAAGUUAUCCAUAUUCUAUGCUUCU